rnacentral:rRNA from 1 species
GGUGAAAUCGGGGGAUCUGGAAACCUCUCGCUAUUGGAGCGGCCGAUGUCAGAUUAGGUUGUUGGGGGGGUAAAGGCUUACCAAGGCGACGAUCCGUAGCUGGUCUGAAAGGAUGAUACCCCCCACUGGGACUGUGACACGGCCCCCACUCCUACGGGAGGCAGCAGUGGGGAAUAUAGGGCAAUGGGCGAAAGCCUGAUCCAGCAAUGCCGCGUGUGUGAAAAAAGCCUUUUCGUUGUAAA